GCUUCGCCAGAAGUCGUCAAAAUCCAAGGGGAGUAUCACAAGUUCUCCCGGCACUUCUGUCACUUCGGUCAGAAGUCGUCAAAAUCCAAGGGGAGUAUCACAAGUUCUCUCGGCACUUCUGUCGCUUCGGCCAGAAGCUGUCACAUUUUUUAGCAUGAUAGAUCUAUCGCUUCGGCCAGAUCAAUCAAGGAGUUAUUGAGCAUAAGGAGGAGCAGCAUGAGAGGCAG
rnacentral:lncRNA from 1 species